ensembl:lncRNA
UCUCUCUCUCACACUCACUCACUUCCGUUUUGACCCAAUAUGGCGCCGGGUGUCUUACCUGCCUGUCAGACUGACGAGUCACGCCUGCGUCAUAUUUGGGGGCGGGGCCCUCUUAUAACGAGAGUACGGGACACCUCUUCCGAGCCGGACACAGGCAGGUGAGGGGGCUUGCUCUUGGAGUUACAGUGUAGCCGGGCUGGUCACAUGAGACACCGGAUACAGCUGUACUGUCUGGGCGUGGACUUCUGGCGCUGUGGUGACAUCUGCUGGCAGAUGAUGUCUUAGAUUUAUGGAUGUAAAAUGAACUGGAUAGGUGGAAGCAAGAUGGCUCCAUCUGCCCUUCAUAAAACCAGACUGGGAGAAUAUAACACGACUACAAGUGCAACUGCCCUAGGACAAGUGAACUGGAAUGCAGCCCUAGGACAAGUGAACUGGAAUGCAGCCCUGGGACAAGUGCACUGGAAUGCAGCCCUAGGACAAGUGAACUGGAAUGCAGCCCUGGGACAAGUGAACUGGAAUGCAGCUCUAGGACAAGUGAACUGGAAUGCAGCCCUAGGACAAGUGAACUGGAAUGCAGCCCUGGGACAAGUGAACUGGAAUGCAGCCCUAGGACAAG